rnacentral:rRNA from 1 species
GACGAGGGAUCCUAGCGUUGUUCGGAAUCAUUGGGCGUAAAGCGGGUGUAGGUGGCUUUGUAAGUCGGGUGUGAAAGCCCAGGGCUUGACCCUGGAAGUGCAUUCGAUACUGCAAAGCUUGAGUGCUAGAGAGGUAAGUAGAAUACCUGGUGUAGUGGUGAAAUACGUAGAUAUCAGGUGGAAUACCGGAGGCGAAGGCGGCUUACUGGCUAGACACUGACACUCAGACCCGAAAGCGUGGGGAUCAAACAGG